GGCGCGCGGCCGGGGGCGUGGUUCCAAUGGGGGCGUGGCCCGGUAUAAAGAGCCGCGCCCGGCGGUGCCGCCGCCAUUCUGAGGGCUGGUGGAGGUUUGGUUGGUCUUGAGAGACGCCGUCGCCUUUACCACGAGAGAAAAACAUACAAACAAUACAAAACAAUACAAAAGCGAACAAAACAACAAAAAAUAUAUACAAAAAGAGGGGAAGAAAAAAAAGCUUUCCUCCCCCCUUGCCGUGAAGAGCCGCCGCAGCCUCGUCCUUUGGACCGUCCUUGGAAGCCGUUCCAAACCCGAAGGAAACUGCCACUUUAAAACAUAUUUCCCUCUUCUUCCCCCUUCCCCCCAAAAAAAAACAAAGGCAAAACCCUCCUUUUUUUUUUUAAAAAACCCAAGCAACUUUUUUUUUUAUUUUUUUUUCCUCGUUCUAGCUCGACAAAAAUUUAGCUCGAUUCACCUCUUUAGGGCUUUAAAAAAAACCCCAACAACAACAACAAAAAUACCCCAGAGAGAAAAAAAACCC